rnacentral:rRNA from 1 species
GCGUGUGUGAAGAAGGCCUUAGGGUUGUAAAGCACUUUCAGUAGGGAAGAAAUGCGUGUAGCUAAUAACUACGCGUUUUGACGGUACCUACAGAAGAAGCACCGGCUAACUCCGUGCCAGCAGCCGCGGUAAUACGGAGGGUGCAAGCGUUAAUCGGAAUUGCUGGGCGUAAAGCGCGCGUAGGCGGUUAUAUAAGUCAGAUGUGAAAGCCCUGGGCUCAACCUGGGAACUGCAUUUGAUACUGUAUAACUAGAGUUUGGUAGAGGGAAGUGGAAUUCCACAUGUAGCGGUGAAAUGCGUAGAUAUGUGGAGGAACACCGGUGGCGAAGGCGACUUCCUGGACCAAAACUGACGCUGAGGUGCGAAAGCGUGGGUAGCAAACAGGAUUAGAUACCCUGGUAGUCCACGCCGUAAACGAUGUCAACUAGCCGUUGGGGGAAUUUGUCCCUUAGUGGCGUAGCUAACGCGAUAAGUUGACCGCCUGGGGGAGUACGGUCGCAAGAUU